UACGUAGGGGGCAAGCGUUGUCCGGAAUCAUUGGGCGUAAAGCGCGCGUAGGCGGCCCGGUAAGUCCGCUGUGAAAGUCAAGGGCUCAACCCUUGAAUGCCGGCCGAUACUGUCAGGCUAGAGUCCGGAAGAGGCGAGUGGAAUUCCUGGUGUAGCGGUGAAAUGCGCAGAUAUCAGGAAGAACACCAGUGGCGAAGGUGGCUAACUGGUCCAGCACUGACGCUGAGGUGCGAAAGCGUGGGGAGCAAACAGG
rnacentral:rRNA from 1 species